GGGUUGUGAGGUUAAGCGACUAAGCGUACACGGUGGAUGCCCUGGCAGUCAGAGGCGAUGAAGGACGUGCUAAUCUGCGAUAAGCGUCGGUAAGGUGAUAUGAACCGUUAUAACCGGCGAUUUCCGAAUGGGGAAACCCAGUGUGUUUCGACACACUAUCAUUAACUGAAUCCAUAGGUUAAUGAGGCGAACCGGGGGAACUGAAACAUCUAAGUACCCCGAGGAAAAGAAAUCAACCGAGAUUCCCCCAGUAGCGGCGAGCGAACGGGGAGGAGCCCAGAGCCUGAAUCAGUGUGUGUGUUAGUGGAAGCGUCUGGAAAGGCGCGCGAUACAGGGUGACAGCCCCGUACACAAAAAUGCACAUACUGUGAGCUCGAUGAGUAGGGCGGGACACGUGGUAUCCUGUCUGAAUAUGGGGGGACCAUCCUCCAAGGCUAAAUACUCCUGACUGACCGAUAGUGAACCAGUACCGUGAGGGAAAGGCGAAAAGAACCCCGGCGAGGGGAGUGAAAAAGAACCUGAAACCGUGUACGUACAAGCAGUGGGAGCCUCUUUUAUGGGGUGACUGCGUACCUUUUGUAUAAUGGGUCAGCGACUUAUAUUCUGUAGCAAGGUUAACCGAAUAGGGGAGCCGAAGGGAAACCGAGUCUUAACUGGGCGUUAAGUUGCAGGGUAUAGACCCGAAACCCGGUGAUCUAGCCAUGGGCAGGUUGAAGGUUGGGUAACACUAACUGGAGGACCGAACCGACUAAUGUUGAAAAAUUAGCGGAUGACUUGUGGCUGGGGGUGAAAGGCCAAUCAAACCGGGAGAUAGCUGGUUCUCCCCGAAAGCUAUUUAGGUAGCGCCUCGUGAAUUCAUCUCCGGGGGUAGAGCACUGUUUCGGCAAGGGGGUCAUCCCGACUUACCAACCCGAUGCAAACUGCGAAUACCGGAGAAUGUUAUCACGGGAGACACACGGCGGGUGCUAACGUCCGUCGUGAAGAGGGAAACAACCCAGACCGCCAGCUAAGGUCCCAAAGUCAUGGUUAAGUGGGAAACGAUGUGGGAAGGCCCAGACAGCCAGGAUGUUGGCUUAGAAGCAGCCAUCAUUUAAAGAAAGCGUAAUAGCUCACUGGUCGAGUCGGCCUGCGCGGAAGAUGUAACGGGGCUAAACCAUGCACCGAAGCUGCGG
rnacentral:rRNA from 1 species